rnacentral:lncRNA from 1 species
CUGGGGAAACCUGCAGGUACCAAGCCUCGCUCUGGUUCUCAACAUCCUCCCGCAGGGCAGAAUCCCUGGGACAGUGGCUUUCCCUGGGGAAGCCUGGCUGUUCCAGGGUCAUCUCUUGGAGAGGGGACCUGGUCGCCAUCAUGGUGAUGUGUCCUGAGUGCUGACCGCCCUGUGCUGAGCCUGUUCCUGGCCUUGCUCACAAAGUUACUACACUGCCUUUAGCAAGGGUGCUGUACUGGUGGCCCGCUGGUGCUGGUGGCCAGCAGGGGGAUGUGGCUUUACAGGCGUCCAGCCCUGGGGAACCACAGGCUGGAGCGCUCACCUCAGCUGGACUUCUGCUUUCCUCGGACUGAGGACCUCGAGGGACCUCAGGAGCUUGCUUAGCCUCAAGCUGGCCCAGGGCAGUGAGGGAGUGAACACCCCUGGGCCUCCCUCUGUGGGGUGGGGCUGGUUGUCAGGUGCCCAGCGUCCUGGUCCUCCUGGCUCGAGUCUCAGGUGGGCUCCUGCAGCUCCUUAGUGGGUCCCCAGAGGGAUUCAGUGCAGGUGCCCCUCCUCUCAACACACCCUCCUCUGUUCCCUCUCCCUGAUCCUUUCCUCAAGGGCACUUCCCUGGACCCCCUGCUCCCAAGGGCUCAGUGACGGCUCUGCUUCUGUGGGCCCUGGGUUAAACGGGUUCCUGAGGUGCCCUUCUCGGGGGCAAGGCCUGCAGUGCUCAGGCAGGCACGUGCCUCCUUGACCAUGGCCCGGGGACAGCUCCGAGCUUUUCCAGAAUUGUCUACGUGAAGACAGGUUUUGAGCCAACAUGUGCACACUGUAUCGCUGACCCCCACCACAGCCUCAGUCUGGGUACCACCGACCCUUCAUCUCACAUGUGGGGCAUGUCCAUGUCACCCCAAAUGGUGGACAGAAUAAGUGACCAAACUGGGACGCUCUGUCUGGGACAAGUGCUCAGCUGGACAAUGAGGGUCAACUGGGACCAUCCUUGGUGCAGGGUGGCUGGAGGGACGGGGCCCCCAGGCAGCACUCGAUGUGUGUGCCUGCUGUGUGUGUAAAUACGGGCAGGGGUCACUCUCUCCCAGCACUCCCGGAAGGUGACAGAUGACACACUGAUGACUCAG